rnacentral:rRNA from 1 species
AAAUUGAAGAGUUUGAUCAUGGCUCAGAUUGAACGCUGGCGGCAGGCCUAACACAUGCAAGUCGAGCGGAAACGAGUUAUCUGAACCUUCGGGGGACGAUAACGGCGUCGAGCGGCGGACGGGUGAGUAAUGCCUAGGAAAUUGCCCUGAUGUGGGGGAUAACCAUUGGAAACGAUGGCUAAUACCGCAUAAUGCCUACGGGCCAAAGAGGGGGACCUUCGGGCCUCUCGCGUCAGGAUAUGCCUAGGUGGGAUUAGCUAGUUGGUGAGGUAAGGGCUCACCAAGGCGACGAUCCCUAGCUGGUCUGAGAGGAUGAUCAGCCACACUGGAACUGAGACACGGU